ACACACUAUCCACUUAACAAUCAUGGCAAUUGCAGACAUGGUUGGCUCUACUUCAACUUCCAUCCCCGCCUCAACGUCAAAAGCGAAGCCAAAACCAGAAAGACUCCCCAUAACCGUCGAGAAACCUACACCCUACACCUUCGACCUGGGCCACCUUCUCGCCCUAGACCCAAACCCACUCAUUCUCUCAAAUGACACAUCCCUAAACGCAGCCCUAACUGCCACAGCCCGCGAUGGCGCCCAAUCCCUCCUCAACCAGCUCUUAACAACCUGCACCAUAACCUCCACGACGCGGGACGGCAUCCUCCUCUCUCUGCCCCCUCGCACCACCCUCCUACCCCGCUUCAAACCGCUCCCGGCUCCCAAGCAGCCGACGAAAUGGGAGCUCUUCGCUCGCAAGAAGGGGAUUGGCAAAUAUAAUAAGAAACUCGGUUCAGGCGGCGGUAGUGCGGAGGCUGAGCGGAGGAAGAAGCUAGUCUACGAUGAAGCUAGCGGCGAGUGGGUACCGAGGUGGGGGUAUAAGGGCAAGAACAAAGGCGGGG
rnacentral:sRNA from 1 species